rnacentral:tRNA from 1 species
GAGGGUCUAGCUCAGUGGUAGAGCGUGUGCCUAGCAUGCACAAGGGCUGGGGUUCAACUCCCAGUACCGCCA